UGAGGUAAUGGCCCACCAAACCUGUAACCGGUACGGGCUCUGAGAGGAGGAGCCCGGAGAUGGGCACUGAGACAAGGGCCCAGGCCCUAUGGGGCGCAGCAGGCGCGAAACCUCUGCAAUAGGCGAAAGCUUGACAGGGUUACUCUGAGUGAUUUCCGUUAAGGAGAUCUUUUGGCACCUCUAAAAAUGGUGCAGAAUAAGGGGUGGGCAAGUCUGGUGUCAGCCGCCGCGGUAAUACCAGCACCCCGAGUGGUCGGGACGUUUAUUGGGCCUAAAGCAUCCGUAGCCGGUUCUACAAGUCUUCCGUUAAAUCCACCUGCUUAACAGAUGGGCUGCGGAAGAUACUAUAGAGCUAGGAGGCGGGAGAGGCAAGCGGUACUCGAUGGGUAGGGGUAAAAUCCGUUGAUCCAUUGAAGACCACCAGUGGCGAAGGCGGCUUGCCAGAACGCGCUCGACGGUGAGGGAUGAAAGCUGGGGGAGCAAACCGGAUUAGAUACCCGGGUAGUCCCAGCUGUAAACGAUGCAGACUCGGUGAUGAGUUGGCUUAUUGCUAACUCAGUGCCGCAGGGAAGCCGUUAAGUUUGCCGCCUGGGGAGUACGGUCGCAAGACUGAAACUUAAAGGAAUUGGCGGGGGAGC
rnacentral:rRNA from 1 species